rnacentral:misc_RNA from 1 species
GUGAAUUCAAAAGAUUCUUUAGAGAGAAAAUGUUGGAAGGUAUUCCAGCCCGUUACGCGGUGGCCUUUGUGGCUUUUCUCAAUUUCUUUUACGUGUACAUGAUCCGCUUGAAUGUCAACAUUGUCAUCGUGGCCAUGGUCAAUUAUACGGCCAUUCCGCACACCAACGUCACGACGGCUCAGGAAUGCGGCCAACCAGAAGAGGAACAAGCCGCUUAUCCUGACGCUGACCAGCAGGAUGAUGGAGAGUUUGUGUGGGACGAGAAGAUCCAAUCGCUCGUGUCUGUUUCCUUCUUUUGGGGCUACAUCGUCACCCAGCUGAUCGGAGGGAGGAUAGCCGAGAAAUUCGGUACCAAAUACAUGUUCGCCGGUGCGCAAAUGACAGCUGGCCUCGUCACGGUUUGCCUCCCCAUUUUGGCCAGGUCUGGAACUGAAUUUUUCAUAGCUGGGAGAAUUCUGCUCGGAUUGGCACAGGGGGUGAUUGUCCCAUCCAUUCAGCCAUUGGUAGCAAAAUGGGCCCCAACGGGGGAGAGGAGCAGCAUCACCACUUUUAUAUUUUCAGGGGCUCAGGUGGGGACAGUUCUCGGCAUCACUUGCAGCGGGCUCAUUGCAGAUUCCCUGGGCUGGGAGGCUGUGUUUUACAUCCAAGGGUCCCUGGCUGUGGUUGUGGUUGCUGCCUGGCUCCAUGUGGUUUACGAUUCACCUGAACUGCACCCAAGAAUUUCUGCAAAGGAAAGGGAAUACAUAAAAAGUUCAACUUUCACACCAGCCAACAAGGCAUUGGCAGUGCCCUGGAAGUCCAUUGCAACUUCGGUCCCCUGCUGGGCCCUGUUGGUGUCCACUCUUGGAAACAACUGGGCAUUUUAUAUGUUGAUUACCCAACUGCCCAUUUACAUGAAGACCAUUCUCCACUUUGACAUGAAAAGCAACGCGUUGCUGUCGGCUCUCCCCUAUUUGGUCAUGUGGAUCUUGAGUCUCUUGGUGGCCCAAUUCGCCGAUUUAACGGCCCGAAAAGGUUGGGCCUCGACCAAUGUCAUUCGAAAAACGGCCAACUCUGUCGCUAAACUGGGCCCGGCUCUCUGUUUAUUGAUGGUCUCAUUUACUGGCUGCGAUCGCCUGUCAACUCUGAUUCUCCUGGUCCUGGCCGUCGGUCUCCAAGGUGCCGUUUUCAGGGACAAUCUACGGAAUAAUUAGCGGUUUGGCUUCCGUUAACAGUUGGCUAGCGCCUCUGGUGGUUGCUUCAUUGACGGAAGCCCAGCAAACUCUGAGUCAAUGGCGGAUCGCUUUCCUUCUGUGCUCUUCCAUAUUGGUCAUCGACGCCUUCGUCUUCCUCCUGUUCGGCUCCACCGAGCGCCAGCCCUGGGACAAAGAAGAAAUUCAACAAACUGAACCAACAG